rnacentral:sRNA from 1 species
GAUUUUAGUUACAUAAGACGUACAUUAUAUUUGUGAAAUUGAUUACCAGGAUAUUUUUCAAGUUCUCCAUUGUCAGGAUAUUUACAGUAAAAAGGAUAUUUACUUGUAACCUAGAAGUACAUGCACAUUUCCAAAGUAUAUAUCAGCCAAACUAAAUUUAGCCAAUAACUAAAUUUAUUUACUGAAAUUAAAUUAUUGUCAAAUAUGCUUUUGGUGUUAAGAGAACACAAUCACUUAAAAAACAUGUGAUGUAGGAAAUCUAUUGGCAUCAUAAGUGGUUUCUUUGGGUAAUAUAUCCAAACAUUUAAAUAUUGAUCAAUAUUAUGACCUUUUAAAGGCCAAAGCAGUUACUUUCUGCCUGUACUCUUUUUGAAUCUUCUUUUCGUCUUCCAUAAGACAACUGACAUAUAUCCACAAGAAGUGCCAUAGUGAACCUGAUGGACCUGGGAUUGCAGCAUUGACUAGUGAGGAGCGAACUCGAUGGGCUAAGGCACGGGAAUAUCUGAUUGGUCUUGAUCCAGAGAACUUGGCUUUAUUAGAAAAAAUUCAGAG